CUCUCGGUAGCCAAGUUGGUUUAAGGCGCAAGACUGUAAUUUAUCACUACGAAAUCUUGAGAUCGGGCGUUCGACUCGGUUCGACUCGCCCCCGGGAGAU
rnacentral:tRNA from 1 species